AACGAACGCUGGCGACAUGCCUAACACAUGCAAGUCGAACGAGACCUUCGGGUCUAGUGGCGCACGGGUGCGUAACGCGUGGGAAUCUGCCCUUGGGUUCGGAAUAACAGUUAGAAAUGACUGCUAAUACCGGAUAAUGUCUUCGGACCAAAGAUUUAUCGCCCAGGGAUGAGCCCGCGUAGGAUUAGCUAGUUGGUGAGGUAAAGGCUCACCAAGGCGACGAUCCUUAGCUGGUCUGAGAGGAUGAUCAGCCACACUGGGACUGAGACACGGCCCAGACUCCUACGGGAGGCAGCAGUGGGGAAUAUUGGACAAUGGGCGAAAGCCUGAUCCAGCAAUGCCGCGUGAGUGAUGAAGGCCUUAGGGUUGUAAAGCUCUUUUACCCGGGAUGAUAAUGACAGUACCGGGAGAAUAAGCCCCGGCUAACUCCGUGCCAGCAACCGCGGUAA
rnacentral:rRNA from 1 species